ACUCCUACGGGAGGCAGCAGUAGGGAAUAUUGGGCAAUGGUCGGAAGACUGACCCAGCCAUGCCGCGUGCAGGAAGACGGCCUAUUGGUUGUAAACUGCUUUUAUCUGGGAAGAAAAGGGCCAUGCGUGGCAAAUUGCCGGUACCAGAUGAAUAAGCACCGGCUAACUCCGUGCCAGCAGCCGCGGUAAUACGGAGGGGUGCAAGCGUUGUCCGGAUUUAUUGGGUUUAAAGGGUGCGUAGGCGGCUGAUUAAGUCAGCGGUGAAAGACUCCGGCUCAACCGGAGCAGUGCCGUUGAUACUGGUUAGCUUGAGUGCUGCAGGGGUACAUGGAAUUGAUGGUGUAGCGGUGAAAUGCAUAGAUACCAUCAGGAACACCGAUAGCGAAGGCAUUGUACUGGGCAGCAACUGACGCUGAGGCACGAAAGCGUGGGGAUCGAACAGGAUUAGAUA
rnacentral:rRNA from 1 species